UACACUCCUGCGGGAGGCAGCAGUGGGGAAUUUUGGACAAUGGGCGAAAGCCUGAUCCAGCCAUGCCGCGUGCAGGAUGAAGGCCUUCGGGUUGUAAACUGCUUUUGUACGGAACGAAACGGCCUUUUCUAAUAAAGAGGGCUAAUGACGGUACCGUAAGAAUAAGCACCGGCUAACUACGUGCCAGCAGCCGCGGUAAUACGUAGGGUGCAAGCGUUAAUCGGAAUUACUGGGCGUAAAGCGUGCGCAGGCGGUUAUGUAAGACAGUUGUGAAAUCCCCGGGCUCAACCUGGGAACUGCAUCUGUGACUGCAUAGCUAGAGUACGGUAGAGGGGGAUGGAAUUCCGCGUGUAGCAGUGAAAUGCGUAGAUAUGCGGAGGAACACCGAUGGCGAAGGCAAUCCCCUGGACCUGUACUGACGCUCAUGCACGAAAGCGUGGGGAGCAAACAGGAUUAGAUACCCGGGUAGUCC
rnacentral:rRNA from 1 species